CAAGCUAGAGCUUAAAGCAUUUUAUUUACACUAAAAAGUUUAUUGUUCAAUCAAUAUAGUUUGA
rnacentral:tRNA from 1 species